UUGACCCUGCGAUCACUAUCAGCGUGUGGAAUGUUAACCAAAAACAGUUUCAUGCAUAAAUAAUAUUAUUAAAAGCCCCAUAAAAUAACCAUUCAAACCUACCAUUCGUUUAAGCUUCUACGUAGAUAAGAUCCAGUCGAUUUGCAAGUCGAUUCCAAGUCAUCGAAUGCAAAAGCAAAAAAAAACUAAGACAAAAUCUUGAUCGAUCAGUCGAACGAUUGAAUAGCAAUAAUUCGUUCACGCAAGCUCACACCUUGUCGCAAACAUCAGCACGCACAUCAUCCGUUCGAAACCGGUACAGCAAACGGAACCGCAAGCCAGCCAGCCGUUUGGAGACGAGGCUAAGUUUAGCGUCAAAUUUCCGAUUCCGUCAAGCGGUGAUGAUCGGUCGCUUAAUCGUGGUGGAAAAAUGAGCUGGAAGCAAGAAAAGAAAAAAAAGCGACACGAAACAAAACAACAACCACAAAACCACAUGUCCUCGUACGGGGGCAAGCAAUUUAAUCCUGGUAGCGAUUCGAAUCCGAUCGAUUCGGUUUCCUCCUUCUGUGUCUGUGUACUGGCCCAGUACAGGUCGUUAGGAAUGUGAGCGCGAACGUCGCCGAGUCCGAGUCGCCUAGUGAGCGCGCGUGAGGAGCCCAACAACAAGCCGCCAGUGUCUUUGAAAACCAUAAACCCUCCAAGGGCGACGGGUGAUAAAAAUCUCGAAAAAUGAUUCCAUCCGCGUACGCGAGCGACCGAAAAAACCGGUGUCUAAUCGAUGGUUGAGUCGACGCCUUUUAUAUUAAUAAAGGACAAAGGGACAAGAACUUCUCUCGGGCGAGGAAAACCAGCUUCCCAAGCACCAAUAAAAAGUGUCUACGCUGUAACGCGCCCAAGGUCAACACGCAGAGCCGAUAGAUGCCUUAUGAAAAGGCAGAAGAAACACGCGUUUCGAGAUUGGCCGGCUGAGCCGUUGCCGUCCAUCGGUUGUCAUGUAAAGGGGGACGUUCGAGAGACCGCUGUAACAGCUGUGUCGAGCCGGCAAAGCUAACGUCGCCUAUGUCCUCCGAUAUUCGAUCCUCCUGCCCGGGUAUCUCGGCGGCAGGUUGCAUUGCCUACCCUGAGCCACCUGUUUAUCAUAAUUUUCGAAUAAAUUUUAAUAUUUCUUCACACUCAUCGUUUUGCCUCCGCCGCCAACCAUCGUUUGGAACCAACCCCUUUCGCGGCCAACCGUUCCGAUGAGGUUUGGAAUUGAAUUUUUGAACCAAACAAAAGAAGCAGCAAACAGACACACACACACACUUGGUUCGCUGCGUGCAGAAACGAUUUCCUUACGAUGCUGCCAAUGCGUUGGGCAAAUAUUUGACACCGGAGAUCUGCUGCUACCAGCAGCAGUAGCAACAGUCCGCUAUGCACGGUCGGAAGAGUGUUGCGAGUUGCAUAAGAGCGAUCCUAAAGGUGUAUGGUGUAAAUAUCGGAGCUGUAAGUACAUGUUUGCUCAACCGUGUGCGGGUUGUAUGCAGGUGGGUGUUGUUGUUCCUCCCGUCGGUAGAAACGUUUCAGCGGCUGGGGAAGCAUUUCAUUCAUGAUUUUCAAUGCGUUUUUUUAUAACUUUAGCUGUGUUAGAAGAAAGAGGUUACAAAUCGUACAAGCUUACGAAAUUGCAUUAUGACCUACUGUUAUUUGCAUUUAGAUUUAGCUAAUUAACAUAAAUACCUCAUUUUCAAAUUUAACGUAGCAAGUAGAAGAAGAAAAACUGUUAAAUUUGGACCGACCACGCCUCCUCUAUCCGUGUAGAUGGUCUGAAAGGGCUUUGCGUUCUGUAUCGUCCGGUGGCAUUCUCAUGACAUGACCAGCCCAAUGGAGCUUGGCGAGCUGCACAACGGUGAGAUCACCUUACAGUGUCUUAGAGCACGUCAUUAUAGCGGCUACUCAAUUGCCCUAAUGAUGGCAAAUUGGUCAACAAAAACUAGUUGACAAGAUGUGACGUAGACUGGAAUGCAUAGAACUUUGAGAACAUUGAGUAACAAAAUCGUCAGUAUUAAGGUAUUAUUCUUAGGCCUUCGGUAUACUAUUCCAUACUAUAAAUAAUUUUGUAUACUUUUCAAUUUGAAAUUAAAAUAUUCAAAUUAAUUAAAUUGAAAAGUAAAACAAUGCAAGGAAAAUAAAAACUUUUAAAAUAAUC